rnacentral:snRNA from 1 species
AGAUGUGAGGGUGAUCUGGCUGUGACAUCUGUCACUCCAUUGACCACCAGGGUUGCUUUGGCUGAUCUGGCUGGCUAGGCCGUGUCCCCUUCCUCCCUCACUGCUGCAUGUGCGUCCCUCCUGAAGCUGGGCACUCGCUCAAAGAGGACGACUAUCCUUGAUAGAGGAGGAUCGGUCUUUGGUCAAGGGUUUACAAGUAGCUGUGCUGCCCUGCUAGAGCCUCCAAACAAGCUCUCAAGAAGCUGGCGUGAGGUCCAGCUACAGCCCUGCCCAGGUUCCCGACCUCU